UACGAAGGGGGCUAGCGUUGCUCGGAAUUACUGGGCGUAAAGCGCACGUAGGCGGCUCUUUAAGUCGGAGGUGAAAUCCUGGAGCUCAACUCCAGAACUGCCUUCGAUACUGAAGAGCUCGAGUCCGGGAGAGGUGAGUGGAACUGCGAGUGUAGAGGUGAAAUCGUAGAUAUUCGCAAGAACACCAGUGGCGAAGGCGGCUCACUGGCCCGGUACUGACGCUGAGGUGCGAAAGCGUGGGAGCAACAGGAUUAGAUACCGUGAGUC
rnacentral:rRNA from 1 species